rnacentral:misc_RNA from 1 species
AUAAAUAUUUUGACAUGGCUGACAUCGCUAGUUGAUUUGUCGCUAUGAAUGUGAAUUUUUGUAAAUUGGGAAGGAAUCUGUCGCUGUGACUACAUUUUUGAAAAGCUUUCACGAUGAUGAUGCAAGCAGAAGAUGCUAGAUAUUUAAAAAGGAAAGUAAAAGGAGGAAAUAUUGAUGUUCAUCCCACAGAAAAAGCCUUAGUUGUGAACUAUGAGUUAGAAGCAACAAUCUUGGGUGAACUUGGUGAUCCCAUGCUCAGAGAAUGGAAAGAAUGCCAAAAAAUUAUACGAGUAAAAAGUUUGAAUGAAAACAGUGAUUUGGCCAGUUUGGCAAAGGACAUAAUUGACAAGUGCAAACUGAUUCAUCCCACAAAACUACCAGAGGUGGAACAGUUGCUGUAUUAUCUACAGAACAGAAAAGAGACAGGGCCAGUCAGUGUGGCCUCAGAAAAAACAGAGCUGCAUGAGAAACCAGAAUUACCCUCCUAUGAUGGCACAGAGAUUGAUGAAGUGGCCAACAUUAAUGAUGUGGAUGAUUACAUGGAGCUGCUGUACGAGGAUGUACCAGAGAAGGUCCGCGGAUCAGCUUUACUGCUACAAUUAGCUAGAAACCCUGACAAUUUGGAAGAGCUUUUCCAAAACGAAACUGUGGUUGGGGCACUGGCCAGGGUGCUUAGAGAAGACUGGAAGAAGAGCACAGAGCUGGCCACCAACAUUGUCUACAUCUUCUUCUGCUUCUCCAGCUUCACUCAAUUCCAUGGUGUUAUUGUUCAUUUCAAAAUUGGGGCAUUGUGCAUGAACAUUGUAGAACACGAGCUAAAGAAAUAUGACAUGUGGAAUGAAGAGCUACAGAAAAAGAAAAAAGCUGCUGGUUCUGAUAAAGACAGGAAAGGAAAAGAGGAAUACGAGAAAAGCCAUCAAAAGUAUGAGGGUCUGGUCAAAAAGCAGGAACAGCUUUUAAGGGUGGCAUAUUACUUAUUACUGAACUUGGCGGAGGACUUGAAGGUGGAGAUGAAGAUGAGAAACAAGAGCAUUGUGGCGUUCCUUGUGAAGACACUGGACAGGGACAACCAUGAGCUGUUGAUAUUGGUGGUAUCAUUCCUCAAGAAACUCAGCAUAUUUAUAGAAAAUAAAACAGAAAUGGCUGAGCUGAACAUUAUAGAAAAGCUCACUAAGCUUGUGCCAUGUGACCAUGAGGACUUGCUAAACAUCACUCUCAGAUUGCUGAUGAACCUGUCAUUUGAUGCUGAACUACGCAGUAAAAUGUUCAAGUUUGGACUUCUUCCAAAACUUGUAGGAUUAUUACCAAAUGAGAACCACAGAAUGUAUGUGUUGGGGAUUCUUUAUCACAUCAGCAUGGAUGACAAGUCCAAAUCAAUGUUUACUUACACUGACUGUAUCCCAAUGGUUAUGAAAAUGCUUUUUGAGAGUGGAGAAAAUGUUGAGAUGGAGUUGAUGGCUCUAUGUGUCAACUUGGCAUCUAAUAAACGGGUGGCAGCCAUGAUCUGUGAAGGUCAGGGUCUCAAAAUGCUGAUGAAGCGGGCUUUCAAAUACAGGCACCCACUGCUGAUGAAAAUGAUCAGAAAUCUGUCACAGCAUGAUGGACCAACCAAAAAUCUCUUUGUAGAUUACAUUAGUGAUCUUGCUCAAGCUGUACUUAAUGAAGAGGACGAGGACUUUGGCCUAGAAUGCCUAGGAAUUCUGGGAAAUCUUACUAUUCCUGACCUGGAUUAUGAACUCAUUCUGAAGGAGUAUAAUUUGAUACCCUGGAUUAAGAGUCGACUAGAACCAGGUGCCUGUGAAGAUGACUGGGUGCUGGAGGUGAUCAUCCUGGUGGGAACUGUGUGCAAUGAUGAUGCCUGUGCCAAGAUGCUGGCUGAAGCAAACAUCAUACAGUCACUGAUUGAAUUGCUUAAUGCCAAGCAAGAGGAUGAUGAAAUGGUCUGUCAAAUUGUAUACGUCUUCUACCAGAUGAUUUUCCAUGAAUCGACCCGAGAGGUCAUCAUCAAAGAUACCCAGGCUCCUGCUUACCUCAUUGAUUUGAUGCAUGACAAGAAUUCAGAGAUCAGGAAAGUUUGUGACAAUACUUUGGAUAUGAUAGCUGAAUUUGACGAGGAGUGGGCCAAGAAGAUUCAGCUGGAGAAGUUCCGUUGGCACAACUCGCAGUGGUUAGAGAUGGUGGAGACUCGCCAGGUGACAGAGAUGGGGGACCCCUACAUGUACCCAGAGGAGGGGUACGACCCCUACCUCCAGGACGCUGACAUCCUGGACAGACCGGACCUGUUCUACGAUGAUAUGUAUGAAAAUGCAUACAUAAUGGAUGGACACUUGACUCCAGAGUUCAUUGAUGAGAAUGGCAUGUAUGAUGGACAGCCAUACGGAUAUGGGUAUGGUAAUCCCAUGGACGGUGGAUAUGAUCCAUAUGAACGGCCAGAAUCCCAUAUGGGAUUCAUAGGGAACGGCCCCCCUGUAGAUGAGUAUGGCAGGCCACUGGAGAUGGACCCAUAUAUGAUGGAUGGAAGACAAUCCAUGAUGAUGGACCGAUAUGGGAUGGGCAUGGAGGAGGACCCUUACCAGUAUGGGUACAAUGGGUAUGAUGAAGGAGUGUACUGAUCCAUGACCGAUGAAUAGAACAACUAUAGAUGAUGUAGAAAAACGUAGACUGAUCAUAAAACUCAAUGGUCCGAAUGUGUUCAGAGUGUAUGAACCAAGUGAUAAAUCUGUGAUAGUGACAUCCACCUGCUGUUUCUUUUACUUGUCGCCAUAGUGCAUGUACAAAUGAUUCACAUUUUCUGAAAGUACUGAUAUCAUUAAAGUAGGUGUCUUCACAACUAUGUCUAGAAUGAAUGAAUGAUCACAUGUACUUGUAGAUCUGAAAACUCUUUGUUGUUGAACUGGUAUUUACAAAUUUGAAUUAGGAUCUGGAAUUCCUUUAUCUUACAAUCAGCCAUAUUGGAUGUUGUGCAGAUAUGCGUUGUGAUUUGUUGUAUGGCAUUCUCCUUGUGUCAGAUUUGCAUUGUGCAUACAUUUCUAUGCUUGUGAUAUUUUUUCUCCGUCCAUAUGCUUUACAUUGGUUUUUUUCAUUGAGUCAAACUUUGCCUGCUAUUGGCUAUUUUAUUUAUACACUCGAAGUAAAUUUUAAAUUAUUUGUUAGAUAGAAAUUUCAUGAUAUGUACAUACAUUUACGUAACUGGACUGAAGUAGUGUUUCCUUUGAAUCAUUGCAUGCAUGAAUGACUUUUUAAUGUAAUUCCUGAUGUAAAAAUAAAUUCUGUUUAUUUGUCAUAUUUU